UACAGAGACUGCAAGCGUUAUUCGGAUUCACUGGGCGUAAAGGGUGCGCAGGCGGCCGUGUGUGUAAGGUGUGAAAUCCCGGGGCUCAACCCCGGAACUGCGCCUUAAACUACAUGGCUAGAGUACUGGAGAGGGUAGCGGAAUUCACGGUGUAGCAGUGAAAUGCGUAGAUAUCGUGAGGAACACCAGAGGCGAAGGCGGCUACCUGGACAGUUACUGACGCUCAGGCACGAAAGCGUGGGGAGCAAACAGG
rnacentral:rRNA from 1 species